UUACCUCUUGUGCUAGCUCCAAAGAGAAGAGGAGAGGGAGAGGGAGAUGUCCAAAGCUCCUCUUUGAUCUCCUUCUUCUUUUCCUUCCUUGUCUUCUUCUCCUUCUUCUUCUUCUCCUCCUUCUUCUUCUUCUCUUUCUUUUUUCUUUCUAGAGAGAGAGAGGGAGCAAGAGAGAGAGAGAGAGUGAGAGAGAAAGAGAG
rnacentral:lncRNA from 1 species